GAUGAAGAACGCAGCGAAAUGCGAUAAGUAAUGUGAAUUGCAGAAUUCAGUGAAUCAUCGAAUCUUUGAACGCACAUUGCGCCCGCCAGCAUUCUGGCGGGCAUGCCUGUUCGAGCGUCAUUUCAACCCUCGCAGCCCAUCUGGGCAGCGGUGUUGGGGACCGGCACCACCGGCGAAGCCCUUAGGGGCCCAGCCGGCGCCGCCCCCGAAAUACAGUGGCGGUCUCGCUGCAGCCUCCCUUGCGUAGUAGCACACCUCGCACCGGAGCGCAGCGCGGCCACGCCGUAAAACCCCCGACUUCUGAGUUUGACCUCGAAUCAGGUAGGAAUACCCGCUGAACUUAAGCAUAUCAAUAAGCGGAGGA
rnacentral:misc_RNA from 1 species